CCUACGGGAGGCAGCAGUGAGGAAUAUUGGUCAAUGGGCGUAAGCCUGAACCAGCCAAGCCGCGUGAGGGAUGAAGGUUCUAUGGAUCGUAAACCUCUUUUAUAAGGGAAUAAAGUGUGGGACGUGUCCUAUUUUGUAUGUACCUUAUGAAUAAGGAUCGGCUAACUCCGUGCCAGCAGCCGCGGUAAUACGGAGGAUCCGAGCGUUAUCCGGAUUUAUUGGGGUUAAAGGGUGCGUAGGCGGUCUUUUAAGUCAGCGGUGAAAGUCUGUGGCUCAACCAUAGAAUUGCCGUUGAAACUGGGGGUCUUGAGUAUGUUUGAGGCAGGCAGAAUGCGUGGUGUAGCGGUGAAAUGCUUAGAUAUCACGCAGAACCCUGAUUGCGAAGGCAGCCUGCUAAGCCAUGACUGACGCUGAUGCACGAAAGCGUGGGGAUCAAACAGGAUUAGAUACCCUUGUAGUC
rnacentral:rRNA from 1 species